GAUGAAGAACGCAGCGAAAUGCGAUAAGUAAUGUGAAUUGCAGAAUUCAGUGAAUCAUCGAAUCUUUGAACGCACAUUGCGCCCGCCAGCACUCUGGCGGGCAUGCCUGUUCGAGCGUCAUUUCAACCAUCAAGCCCCCAGGGGCUUGUGCUGGGGCCCUGCGGCUGCCCGCAGGCCCUGAAAACCAGUGGCGGGCUCGCUAGUCACACCGAGCGCAGUAGCACAUCUCGCUCAGGGCGUGCGGCGGGCUCCUGCCGUGAAACCCCCCACUGUAACCCCAAAGGUUGACCUCGGAUCAGGUAGGAGUACCCGCUGAACUUAAGCAUAUCAAUAAGCGGAGGA
rnacentral:misc_RNA from 1 species